rnacentral:lncRNA from 1 species
CAUGAUUUUCUUUAUUGCGUAAUGUGAAAUAGGUGUUGAGAGAGAAUACUCACAGCAGACUCUGGAAAGCUGAGGCUGGCACCACCCUUCUAUUCAGUCGUCUUUUACAUGGUAUGUUUACAUACUGUAUAUGAAAGAUAUUUUGUCAUUUUUUAUUUUUAUAAUCACUUGUAAUGCAGGAAUCAUUAAUACUCCGUUGUACCAGGUGGACUAAUCAGAGCUACCUAGACAUUCAGAUGGAUGCUGGUGAGUACUGGCUCACCAACUACUGCUGCAGUCCUGCCAGAGACUGUUUCCCAUAAAAGGAUUUUAAUCUCUCACCCCUUUCAUCAGCACAUGUCCUGCCCUCUUUUUAUCUAAGUAAGUAAGUGCAGUGUAGAAAAGGAGGAAUAGAACAUAAUGGUAUCCAUCAAGGCCUUGCUUUUAUCAGGAUGAUGACAAGAUGACAUGUUCACAAAUCUUGACCUAACUGAAAAAGAUGCUGAACAACUCCAGCAGGAAAUGUAACUUUGAGGCUGCGAAACUGACGCACUCAAAAGCUGGUGCUUCAUUUGACAUGAUGGUUUUUUAAUAGUGCGAUCUUUACAUGUGCACUGAGAUGGUCACUAUCAAGGAGAAAUCACAGCAUCUAAUUAAUGUGAAACAUAACUUUAAGAAAGGUGUUUAGGGUGAGUGCAACAGAAUAUCCAGCAUGAUCCAUGGCCUGGUUUUACAUGACAGGUCUUUAACCAGAACUACCGAAUGGGCUCUGUCUGUACAUUGAUGUUUUGUCCACAAUGGCUAGUAUCGACACACGUGUGCAAGCAUCAGGAUGCUCAUAAGCCUUCUGAACAGCCAAAAUGGUUCAGACCAAGUUUUCUGAGCCCUAACACAGAACUGGCUCUCAGGAAGACAGGAAUGGUAAUAAACCUAUUUCUUAAUUAAAUGUAUGGCUGCAAACAGUCCUGAGGACUGGAGAUGACAGUAGAAACACUUUUGUAAUGUUUGCAUGACAACUGGAGAUGUUGUAAAUGGUAGAACUGAAAGUGAACAGCACUCUUUUCA